GGGGAUUUAGCUUAGCAACAUAAGCGCCUGCCUUGUAAGCAGGCAAUCGCCAGUUCGAUCCCUGGUACCA
rnacentral:tRNA from 1 species